rnacentral:rRNA from 1 species
GACGAACGCUGGCGGCGUGCUUAACACAUGCAAGUCGAACGGAAAGGCCCUGCUUUUGUGGGGUGCUCGAGUGGCGAACGGGUGAGUAACACGUGAGUAACCUGCCCCUGACUUUGGGAUAACUUCAGGCAACUGGGGCUAAUACCGGAUAGGAGCUCCUGCUGCAUGGUGGGGGUUGGACAGUUUCGGCGGUUGGGGAUGGACUCGCGGCUUAUCUGCUUGUUUGUGGGGUAGUGGCUUACCAAGGCUUUGACGGGUAGCCGGCCUGAGAGGGUGACCGGCCCCAUUGGGACGGAGAUGCGGCCCAGACUCCUACGGGAGGCAGCAGUGGAGUAGGGAGCACUAUGGAAGGAGGGCAGGCGCAGCGACGCCACGUGGGGGGUAUCAGCCUUCGGGUAGGAAACCACUUUCGUCUGUGACGAAACGUUAAUGACGGUAAUGGGUAAAGAAGCCCCGGCUAACUACGUG